rnacentral:misc_RNA from 1 species
GUUCCUCCCCUGUGGCCCUUGCGGUUGCAGGGGGGACCUCGAAGCAAUCCUCGUGUCCCAGACAUACCUCGACGUUCCUACGUGCGGUUGUCUUGGUCCAUGAGUCAUUGCUCGUCCUCUCGGAUGCGGAAUGCUAAGCGAGCGUGGUGGUCUUUGGCCUCCGAUCGCUCGAGAACGUCCCUUUACACGGAUGACUGUUGCGACUGCAUGGUGCUCCAACCGAAAGGUUGGAAGCCUCGUGCAGCUCGCAACGUCCCGAAGGAAUGCUACCUGGUUGAUCCUGCCAGUAGUCAUAUG